rnacentral:lncRNA from 10 species
CCUCUGCCUUUUGGGUCAACACUGAGGGGAGUAAAUGAAUGGCACCUGCUCCUUCUCUGUCUGAAGCUUGGACUUCUCCUGAGAGGACUUCCUGCUCCAAGAUAGGAGGGAGUCUCACUCAGAAGAGGAAGGAGCUCCUGUCUGCUGAGGACACGGUUCCAUCCAAUGAGGCAAAUCUCCUGAAUAAAUGCUUACUUAGCACGCGCAUCCACUUGGAAUCCAUCAUCUGAAAUAGUUACUGUUCAUGGUGCAUUGACUUUAACUUCAAACUUGGGCAACACUGGAAACAAAGAGAAAUAUACUUCAGCCCCCACAAUCACUGGAGUCCUCAUUAGAGGGAAGCAGAAAGACCAAAGUCAGAGACGGAGAUGUGGCCGUAGAAGCAGAGGUCCAUGUGCUGCGGGGCCAUGAGCCAAGGAACCCACGCCGCCUCUGGGAACUGGGAAAGGCAAGGGAGCAACGUCUCCCUGGAGCUCCAGAGUGAGCCAGCCCUGAUGACACCGUGACUUCAGCCCUCGGAGACUGACUGUGGACAUCGGACCUCUGUCACUAUUUUCUGCAAACUAGGAAUAGAAGCAAGCUUCUUAACCUGAUGUAUCGCACCUUCAAAAAGCCUACAGCAAACAUCUUACUUAGUGAUGAAAAACUGAUUGCCUUCCCCAUAAGAUUGAGAACCAGGAACUGUCCAGGAAGACCCUGCAGUCUCUCUGCAGGCUCAUGGGAGCUCCCAGAACUGAGACAACACACGGAUCCAGGCCUGCUUCGAAGUCAGUGGGAUGCGGCCCUUGAAAGUCGAUGUAUUGGGUUCCUAGGGCUCUCGUGAAAACAUGCCACACCUGGCUGGUUUUAAACAACAGGAGUUUAUUCUGUCAGUUGAGAAGGCUACAAGUGCAAAAUCAAGGUAUUGACGGGAUGAGUUCCAACUAGAGGCUGUGAGGCAGAUCAACUCCAUGGCUCUCUCCUGGCUUCUGCUGGUUUCUGGCAACCGUUCACUUCCCAUGCCUGGUAGACACAUCACUCUAACCUCUGCCUCCCUUUUUCAUGGGCACAUUCGCGCCUGUGUGUGUGUGUGUGUGGAUGUGUGUGUUAAGGACAGCAAUCAUUAGACUAGAUGGGGCCCACUCUAAUCCACUGUGAGCUUCUCUUACUUUGGUAACAUCUGCAAAGACCCUAUUUCCAAACAAGGUCACAUUCCAUGUUCUGGGACUGUCUUCUGAGAGAUGUCUCCCCCAGGAUCCUUCCAGGUGGAAGGAUGCCCUUUGACCUGCAAAGCCAGGCAGAAAACCAGGAUCAGGGCAGGACAAGAGGAUGCUAGCCUGUGAUGGCUCCCACUCAGGUGGGAUGUGAGAAGUGCCUGUGGCCUGGGACACACCAACUUGCUCCCGUUACCUCAUCUGAGAUGGACUGCACAGUGUAUGUCCAGGGCCCAACCCGGUACACUGUGCCUUUGCAAUGCUGUCUCUGUGCUUUGGAAAUUCACUCAGCCCACUGCGUGGGGUGGUCUGAGGCGGGCCACAACCAUUUCUCAACCAUCCCUGAGUACCUGACCAGUAUCCCUCGGGGGUGACGACGACCGCCUACAUCUGGAGCAUGAGGAGCGUGUUUACCUGGUGAGUAAGGAUGCAAGCAUAGGACGUCCUGGCCGAUCCUCUGCACAAGCAAUGCCUUUGCUCCAACGGGAUGGGCAACGUUGGAUUAGGCCUGAGGCAGAUUUGAUCUCGGAAGAUACAUUCGAGUCUAUGUGUUUUGUGCAUUUAUUUUUGUUUCCUUGAAUUAACAUGGAGUCCAUUUCAACUUUCACUUAGUCUCCUUUCUCUUCCCCCACUUCUUUCUCUCUCUCUCUUUCUUUGUAUGUGGAAGAAUUUUAACUCUGUGUUCCAUAAUGUCUAAAUACUCAAAUUUAGAGUUGACAGCCAUACAGCAAAUUAUUCAAGUUGCUGUCAAAAAAAAAAAAUCCCUGCGUUUUCUAGGAUUAAAACUGUGAAUAGAGUACUGGAAGAAAAAAAAGUCAUAGACUCAGAUGCAAAAUGACAACAUUUAAUGGGAUGAUAAGGAAAUAAGACUUGACAAGAAACCAUAGCCCACUGCAGACUGUUCACGAUGUCAGAUGGUUCAUGAUUUUUUUCCAGGUUUGAUACAGAAGAAUCAGUUUGUUACAAGAAAUGCUUCUCCAACUGGGAUUUAAAACAUCAUUUAAACAAUAAACACGUUUGUAUGUAUAUAUAAAUAGAUAUUUAGAUAUAAAAACAUGCAUAUAUAGGCACAUAGACAUGUACAUACACACACAUAUGUACAAAUAUAUAUGCCUAAAUUUUUACUGACCUGUCAACUUACAAAACAAAAAUGAGAGAUUUAUAAAAGGUACAUAUAUAGCUGUGAAUUCUUUAAAGCUAUUUUUAAAGAAAUUAAUAUAAUCUUAAUGAUUAUCAGAUUACUCAUGCAGUACACAGCUACACAAGUCUAAUGAAGUACCAGACACUUUUCUUUCUUCAACUAUUGUCCUAUCUUAUUCAGGUUUUCAUUUUCUUACUAGAUGUGUUUUCAAUGGUUUAUGACGUAAUAAAAUUUCUUUACCUCUUCUAGUAAUUGCUUUGUCUCACUCGGAAACUGAACUACUGUCGAUGUUGUAAAAAGCUAGGGCAUAUUCUUCU